rnacentral:rRNA from 1 species
UACAGAGGGUGCUAGCGUUGUUCGGAAUCAUUGGGCGUAAAGGGCGCGUAGGCGGCACUGUUAGUCAGGCGUGAAAGUCCUGGGCUCAACCUGGGAACUGCGCUUGAUACGGCAGAGCUAGAGGAUGGAAGAGGCUCGCGGAAUUCCCAGUGUAGAGGUGAAAUUCGUAGAUAUUGGGAAGAACACCGGUGGCGAAGGCGGCGAGCUGGUCCAUUACUGACGCUGAGGCGCGACAGCGUGGGGAGCAAACAGG